UACGUAGGGUGCAAGCGUUGUCCGGAAUUAUUGGGCGUAAAGAGCUCGUAGGCGGUUUGUUGCGUCGGCUGUGAAAUCCCGAGGCUCAACCUCGGGUCUGCAGUCGAUACGAGCAAACUAGAGUGUUGCAGGGGGAGACUGGAAUUCCUGGUGUAGCGGUGAAAUGCGCAGAUAUCAGGAGGAACACCGAUGGCGAAGGCAGCUCGCUGGGACGGUACUGACGCUGAGGCGACGAAA
rnacentral:rRNA from 1 species